CGCGUAGGCGGGCGACAAGGUCGGUAGUGAAAUCCUCCCGCUUAACGGGAGAAGGGCUGCCGAAACCGGUCGUCUUGAGGGAGGUAGGGGCGUGUGGAACUUCCGGUGGAGCGGUGAAAUGCGUAGAUAUCGGAAGGAACGCCGGUGGCGAAAGCGGCACGCUGGACCUCUUCUGACGCUGAGGCGCGAAAGCCAGGGGAGCAAACGGGAUUAGAUACCCCGGUAGUCCUGGCCCUAAACGAUGGGUACUAGGUAGUGGACUAGCAUGGGUUCACUGCCGAAGCAAAAGUGGUAAGUACCCCGCCUGGGGAGUAUGGUCGCAAGGCUGAA
rnacentral:rRNA from 1 species